GUGGGGAAUCUUGCGCAAUGGGCGAAAGCCUGACGCAGCCAUGCCGCGUGAAUGAUGAAGGUCUUAGGAUUGUAAAAUUCUUUCACCGGGGACGAUAAUGACGGUACCCGGAGAAGAAGCCCCGGCUAACUUCGUGCCAGCAGCCGCGGUAAUACGAAGGGGGCUAGCGUUGCUCGGAAUUACUGGGCGUAAAGGGAGCGUAGGCGGAUAGUUCAGUCAGAGGUGAAAGCCCAGGGCUCAACCUUGGAAUUGCCUUUGAUACUGGCUGUCUUGAGUAUGGGAGAGGUUAGCGGAACUCCGAGUGUAGAGGUGAAAUUCGUAGAUAUUCGGAAGAACACCAGUGGCGAAGGCGGCUAACUGGCCCAUUACUGACGCUGAGGCUCGAAAGCGUGGGGAGCAAACAGGAUUAGAAACCCUAGUAGUCC
rnacentral:rRNA from 1 species